AGAACCUUACCAGGUCUUGACAUCCCGGUGACCGGCGYGUAAUGGUGCCUUUCCUUCGGGACACUGGAGACAGGUGGUGCAUGGUUGUCGUCAGCUCGUGUCGUGAGAUGUUGGGUUAAGUCCCGCAACGAGCGCAACCCUUAUCCUUAGUAGCCAGCAGGUGAAGCUGGGCACUCUGGGGAGACUGCCAGGGAUAACCUGGAGGAAGGUGGGGAUGACGUMAAAUCAUCAUGCCCCUUAUGAUYUGGGCUACACACGUGCUACAAUGGCGUAAACAAAGGRAAGCGAACCUGCAAGGGGGAGCAAACCCCAAAAAAUAACGUCUCAGU
rnacentral:rRNA from 1 species